AAGAUAUUUACAUUCCUCUUGGUGACUUUUGGCCAGGUGCCACCGGUUCACGUUGUUUUCUGAGAGCCUGUUCCUGGGAACCCAGUUACAUGGACCGGACCUGGAUUUGCCAAGGUUCUCCCUGGGGCUGGCUUGAGAUUUGUUGUCAACAACAUUCCUUUUCCCAUGUACUUCACCAUCGCCGUUCGCUAUGAAACUCAGUCUGCAGCUGACUGGGCUGUCCAGGUGGUGGUCACCCCCGAGGAGGGAGCGGCUACUGCACACCCAAGACUCCACGGCCCAAGC
rnacentral:lncRNA from 1 species